rnacentral:rRNA from 1 species
AGUGAACGCUGGCGGUAGGCCUAACACAUGCAAGUCGAACGGCAGCACAGUAAGAGCUUGCUCUUACGGGUGGCGAGUGGCGGACGGGUGAGGAAUACAUCGGAAUCUACUUUUUCGUGGGGGAUAACGUAGGGAAACUUACGCUAAUACCGCAUACGACCUACGGGUGAAAGCAGGGGAUCUUCGGACCUUGCGCGAUUGAAUGAGCCGAUGUCGGAUUAGCUAGUUGGCGGGGUAAAGGCCCACCAAGGCGACGAUCCGUAGCUGGUCUGAGAGGAUGGUCGGCCACAUUGGAGCUGAGACACGGUCCAGACUCCUACGGGAGGCAGCAGUGUGGAAUAUUGGACAAUGGGCGCAAGCCUGAUACAGCCAUACCGCGUGGGUGAAGAAGGCCUUCGGGUUGUAAAGCCCUUUUGUUGGGAAAGAAAAGCAGCAGGUUAAUACCCCGCUGUUCGGACGGUACCCAAAGAAUAAGCACCGGCUAACUUCGU